rnacentral:rRNA from 1 species
AAAUUGAAGAGUUUGAUCAUGGCUCAGAUUGAACGCUGGCGGCAGGCCUAACACAUGCAAGUCGAACGGUAACAGGAAACAGCUUGCUGUUUCGCUGACGAGUGGCGGACGGGUGAGUAAUGUCUGGGAAACUGCCUGAUGGAGGGGGAUAACUACUGGAAACGGUAGCUAAUACCGCAUAACGUCGCAAGACCAAAGAGGGGGACCUUAGGGCCUCUUGCCAUC